rnacentral:rRNA from 1 species
GAGUGCCCCGAGCGUUAUCCGGAAUUAUUGGGCGUAAAGGGUGUGUAGGUGGCAGUGUUAGUCAGACGUUAAAGCCCGGAGCUUAACUCCGGAAAUGCGUUUGAAACGGCACAGCUAGAGGAUGCGAGGGAUGAAUGGAACUCAUGGAGUAGGGGUGAAAUCCGUUGAUAUCAUGGGGAACACCAAAAGCGAAGGCAGUUCAUUGGCGCACUCCUGACACUGAAACACGAAAGCGUGGGUAGCGAAUGGGAUUAGAUACCCCAGUAGUCCACGCCCUAAACGAUGACAACUAGCUUUGCGGAGUAUCGACCCUCUGCGAGGCGAAGCUUACGCGUUAAGUUGUCCGCCUGGGUAGUACGGCCGCAAGGCUA